GUGAGGGGCGGGAAGAGCGCAGCUGCGAGCAGGCGGGCGGAGGGUAGCGGGAAGCCCGGGCGGAGGGGGCGGCGUGAGAGCCUCGGGGCGGGGGCGGGGCCUGGCGCGUCCGCCGAGCGCGGGGGUUUGUUUAUUUUCCCGGUUGGUAGCGGCGCUGGCGCUGGUUAGAGGUUCGCCGGUGACGUGAGCGCCCGAGUUGGGGGAGAGGACCAGAACCACCUGCUGGAGAAAGGGAGCUACGGGGGCCGGGCAGGGUCCAAACGCCUCACGUGGGCGGCGGCGCCACGGUCUUCGGGGUCACAGGGAAGAGAAGGGCUCUCCUCAAGCGGGUGGAAGGAGGGAGGCCUCCCGAGGGAAUGAGACUCCAGGCCACUCCCCCGCAGCAAGGCAGGAUCACCUGCGUCGCGGAGAGCAGUUAGAGGUCCCUGGAGUGGAAAAGGGCAGUGGGACCUGGUAGCUUGGGUUCCCUGCAACUUGGGGUUCGACCUCCAGGCAAUGAAGUAGGGAUGGUCCUGCAAGUCAAGAUUCCAGUAGCAAGAGUGCAUCAGAUCUCUGUAAGGAAAAUAACUAACAUUGCUCAGUUCCCUGUAGAGUUGCAGGGCGCUUUGACGUUAUCUCCCUUGGUUCUCCAUCAGGUCGUAGUGGACUAAUUUUACAGGCGAAGUUAAGUGACUUACCCAAAACCUCACAGCUAAUAAACGGCAGAGCCGGCACCCAGCUGUACUGGCUUCCAGCGCAUCCCAUUAUCUCCAUAAAUCCCCCUGAUUCAACUAAUAUUAGACGCCCCACAGGUAAGAUGCUUCAGAGUUAGAGGGGAGUUGAAGAUACCUUUGCCUUCAAAGAAGUAAGGAAUGAAACAAAGAUAAAACAGACAAUAAAAGACAAACCAUGAUAGGUGCCACGUGAAAAGUGGCAGAGUACUGCCGGGAAUCAAAGAACCGUGUAUAUCUGUCUUGGGGAUAAGGAAAGAAACGCAGCAUGAAGGAGUAGGCAUUUGGGAUUGACCUUGAAGGAGACAGGGAGAGUUUUACAGCAAGAAGGGAUAGCAUGAGAAUAUAUAUGAAGGCGAAUCAGUGAAAGUUGUGUUGGGGAAAGAGCAAAGACUCCAGGUAUGUUGAGAGGUAGAAAAGACAAAGGAGUAUGGGGCCUAAGAUACCAAAUGGAUGAAUUUAUAUUUAAUUCAGUAUUUUGAGUUUUUAUGGUUCAGAAGUUUGGGGGAAGAAAAGGAAGGUUUUUUUUUUCUUUAUGCUAGUGAUUUAUCUGUGAAGGGAAGCAGAAAUCAGAGGUGGAAAAACUGACAGAUCUACUGUAGGCCAGGUAAAAGGUAAUGAUGAGUCUGACCUAAAGGGACAGCCAGGGGAAUUUAAAGAGCAUAGUUGAGAGAUGAUGUGCAUGCAGAAUCUAUAGAAUUUGCUAACUGAUUGAUUAAUUGUGGGUAGGAAGAGAGAAAUCAAAGAAAGUGGAGGUUUUGAGUUUCUAGAUAAUUGCAAGAGAGAAAAGAGACAAUUACAAAGGAAAGGAGAAGGAGCUACUUCUUGAGAGAAGAUCAGUUUAGAUUUAGACAUUUUAAGAAUUCAAAGGGUUGUCAAGACAGCCAGACGGACAUGGACACUAAUAAGUUAGAAAUAAAGGUUUUGUAAUAUGGGAAAGAGGACUGAGCUAGAAAAUAGACUCAUAGAUAAUCAGCCUAGGAGUGAUAUUGCUGUGAGAUAAAAGAAGAAAACAAAGUCAGAAUCUUGGAAAACACCCUCUUCAGAGUCUCGCUGCUCAAAACGUGGUCAGUGGCCCAGCAGCACUGACAUGAGGACCUUAGUUGGAAACUCAGAAUCUCAGGCUCCACCCCAGACCUGCUGAACCAGCAUCUUCAACUUAACAAGAACCCGAAGAGAUUUGUGCCACAUCAAAAAGUUUGAGAAGCUCUGAUCUAGGUGAGCCAAGCCAGCAAAGAAAGGGGGUGGAGCAGAAAAUGGGAGGAGAAUAGGGUAAUGCAGAAUCAUCAAGACAAGGUAAAUUGGACUUUCACAAAAACGGGGCUGGAAGGAGUGUUGCUCAACAAUAUCCAAAACCACAGAGGUUGAAAAGCACAAGGAAAGAAGCUGGACCCUGGACACGGUGACUCUGAUUCAAUUAUGCAGAUGACCACAAGCCUCUGGGGUUGGCAGAGCCACAAGAAAGAAGGUGCCUGGAUGAAGGAGAGCUACCCACUGACCUGGACACCCAAUUAUAGGAUAGACAGUGAAGUGCAACUACAGCCCGCAAAUGAAAAUGAAUAAAAUUAAUCCAGCCCCUCAAGGCAGUCAUCUGUCUUAGAGCUAUUGGAAUCCUGGAUCAUUGUGGGAAAUGAAAAGAACUGGUUUUUAGCAAGGAGACCAAGAAACUCUACUCCCUAGGGGCUAGCAAUGAGAGAAAGGAAGCCUUGAGUCUUUGAGCACAGGGUGACAGUUUGGGUCCUAUGUGAGAUGAUCAAAUCCACAGCAACAGAGGAAAGGACAAAAGGAAAAGGUCUGUAGCAGCACUACAUCAGAAAAAAUGGAUUCCGCAAGGAAGUGGGUGACUCUGAAUACUUCGAUGGAAUCAGCAGCCAUUGAUCCAAUGCCAACUCCAAGACUGGAACGUCGCAAUGAUAGUUCCAAGGCGGAAAUUUGACGUAAUUCUUUUCGACACAGUUUUACAGGUCUGGAUGCCCAUUUUAAUUCUUCUGAAAGCAUGCCUCCUUCUGGCUUCAGGACUCCAUCUCCAGCCUUAUGAUCUAAAAAUAAUCCCCAAACCAAAAAAUUAGAUAUUAUUUCCUCAAAAUUAGGUGUUUUAAUCAAAACAUCUUAACAUAAAUACAUUAUUAUCACCCAAUAUGCAUAAUGUUGUUCAACUUUUUUGUUAAAUGACUUAUUUUAGAUGAACAGAUGUGUGAAUAUGAAUAUUUUUAUUUCACUUACAGGCAUCUUGCAUGUGAAUAACUCACAACUUUAAUUCAUGGAACAAAUUGAGAAAUAGUCUUUUGGGGGUUUGGUACUCCCUGGAAACAUAAGAGUGCUUUGGGCACCUCUGGUGCCUUUCCAUGCCUGCCUUCUCUGCUGUUCUUGCUACUAGUGAAUUCUAAAUCAUGGCCAAGUGAUGCCAGCACUGGAUAAUAUUGGCUCUGCCCCAUAUCUCGAGGGAAAACUCUGGGACUUGGCAUUAUAUGUGUGGGAAUCUGGCCUUGGUUGGCACUCCCAGCAUGAUAGCAGGGUUCUGCUGUCUGAAUGUACUCUGGGGUGUGCGCCACAAUUUCUGUCAUCGAAAUGGAGAUGAGAGAAUAUGCCCUUGGUGGGGACACCCCACUGGAAUUAGAGUGAAGAGAUCAAAGCUAGAGGUUCUUAAAUCAAAGAAUGUCUAAUAGCAAAGACAAAAACUUGCUUAAGAGAAAUGCAUACAGGUACUAGACCUAAUAUGAUGAAAAAUGCUAACUUCAACAUAUUGAUGCAUGCUUAGUAUACUUUUAGUCCUGCAAAGACAAAAGUUUUUUGUUUGUUUUUUUUUGAGACGGAGUCUCGCUCUGUCGCCCAGGUUGGAGUGCAGUGGUGUGAUCUCGGCUUACUGCAAGCUCUGCCUCCUGGGUUCACACCAUUCUCCUGCCUCAGCCUCCGGAGUAGCUGGGACUACAGGCGCCCGCCACCACGCCCGGCUAAUUUUUUGUAUUUUUAGUAGAGAUGGGGUUUCACCGUGUUAGCCAGGAUGGUCUCGAUCUCCUGACCUCAGGUGAUCCGCCUGCCUUGGCCUCCCAAAGUGCUGGGAUUACAGGCAUGAGCCACCGCACCUGGCCCAGUCCUGCCAAGACAAAGUUUUAAAACACAGGUUGCACAUUGGCAGCUCUCAAGCCAAAUCUGGCCCAUAGACAUGGUUUGCUUGGCCUAUAAUGUUAGUAAUACUUGACCCAAGAUUUAAAAUUUGAAAAGUUUCAUAUAAAAAUAUAGAUUUACAGCUUUUCUAGAAAAACUAUAAGAGUUAACAGUUUCUGAAUUGCAACAGCAGCUGGAACACCGUUGCCACUGACCAUUUAGAUGACUGCUGCAGUCCCCACGGCUCACUCUGGUUCAGGUAGGGGUUCUAGUUUGUAACCCCUGGUUUAAAACAUAACUGACUCUCUAGUUUUUAAAAUUCUCUCAAAAUCAAAUAACCUGAACUAGCAAAUGAUCUAGAUCCUCGUACAUGGAACUCAUACUAAGUUGACCACAGACAGUGGCUCCCAAACUCUGCAGUACAUCAGAGUCACUGGGAAGCUUUAAAAAAUCCUGCUCCCUAGCUGGGUGCAGUGGUUUAUGCCUGUAGCCCCAGCUACUUGAGAGGCUGAGGUGGGAGGAUUGCUCAAGCCCAGGAGUUUGAGGCUGCAGUGAGCCAUGAAUGUACCACUACACUCCAGCCUGGGCAACAGAGCAAGACCCCAACUCUAAAAAAAAAUCCUGCUCCCCAGGUGACAGUAUCUGGGGGAAGGAGUAAGGCAUCUUAUUUUCAAAAGAUCAUAAGAAAAGAGGCUCAUUGCUGAGGCUCACUCCGGAGCCCACUUGGAUUCUUCACAAGAAAGUUUCCCUCUUCCAGAAUUUUAUAAUUGAGGGAACCGACUAGGGAAAGAUUAAUUUGCCCAAGGUCAAACAACUAGUAAAAGAAGUAAGGAUUCCAACCCAGAUCUUUUGACUCUAUUAUCCUUACAUAUAGUUUUAUAGUGAUUUAAAUUGAUACAAGGAUAGGUUUAAAUACAAGUAGAAUGCAGGUUCAUAUAAAACUGAUUUUAUCCUCAUGUUAGAAAACAUAUACACUGUAACAGAGGGAUGACCAUCAAGUGACCAAGAUAUUUUAGUCAAAAGAUGAAUUUUUCUGCAAUUGGAGAAUGCCAAAAAUAUUCAAAGAAAAUAUAAGUCUUGUAGGCAGUCUUCUAUCAAAACCCACUGAACCGCUGGGCACGGUGGCUCAUGCCUGUAAUUCCAGCACUUUGGGAGGCCAAGGCUGGUGGAUCACCUGAGGUCAGGAGUUUGAGACCAGCCUGGCCGACAUGGUCUCUACUAAAAAUACAAAAAAUUAGCUGGGCCUGGUGGCGGCACCUGUAAUCCCAGCUACUGAGGAGGCUGAGGCAGGAGAAUUGUUUGAACCUUGGAGGUAGAGGCUGCAGUGAGCUGAGAUAGCACCACUGCACUCCAGCCUGGGUAACAAGAGUGAAACUCCAUUCAAAAACAAAAAACAAACAAAAAAAAAACAAUGCACCAAAUACUAAGUUAUUAACUAGGAUACUGAUUAUUAAGCAUGUAAAACAUUUUAUGGAACUCAGAGUUUGAUGUAAAUUGCUAUAUUUUAUAAUUCAAACAAACCUUGUUUCAUGUCAUUAUAUUAGAGUAGCAUUAUGAGACAGGAUAUAGUGUAAGCUAUAUCCCCAAUAUAAUUGCAACUGUAUAUUUUAAAGCAUGGGGAAAAUAUGAAAAGAAUUAUGCUCAAAUGUGGGUAGGAUUAUAACUGAUUUGUUUUCUUCAUUUUCAGAUUUUUCUAUAAUGACUAUACAUUAUUUUUAUAGUCAAAAAUAGAAGUAUUUUAAAUGUUUCUAGGUAGAAUAGCAAAUUAGCUGAAAUAGUAUCUCCAACGUUAUUAUCAAGACUAGACUCCUUGGGUAAAUUGGUCAGAACAGUGUUGUUCUCAUUUUACACCUCUCCAAGAUUAACUAUGUUUUAGAUUUGUGUGUGUGUUUGGUUAAAGAGCCAGGAUGAAGAUCCAGAGUUCUUAAACCUGUAUACCACCAUACUACAUUGUCAUUUUAAAGAAAUGUCUAGUAGACUCGGUGGCAUAAACAUGGGCCAUUUACAAACUAGAUGUCUAAUAUCAGAUACCUCAAAUUUGACAGUAGACUUUUUUUCAAAGCUAAAGUGGUCUUAUGUUGACUAUUUUGUUUCUUACUUGAUACUUGUUUACUUUUUAAUUUUUGGCAAGUAAUGUUUCAAGUUAAAGUUUUAGCUAUAUAUAGCAGGCAGUAUUUCAAGUAAAUGAGUUACAUCAGUAAACACCUCUGUAUUACUAAACUGAGAAUCAGAAAAUGUAAUCUCUUUGGCAGGAUUCGUAUGUUUGUAUCACGUCUUUAUCCUCAGGCAACUUUUAUCUUGGAAUACUGAACCAGCAGUCAGAAUAUGAGGGACAUUAGACUGUGUUAUAGUUACUGUUCUGUCCUUAAGUCACUUGCCUUCUCUAAGUGUCAGUUGCCUCAUCUGAAAAUGGAGUUAGCAGACCCCAGCCUAUCCUGAGUUUGAGGGCUAAAGGGAAUUAUUCUUGAAAAUGUCUAUACAUGAUAAAUGUCACAAAUAUAACUUAGCAUUUUUUUUUUGAGACAGAGUUUCGCUCUUGUGGCCCAGGUCGGGGUGCAAUGUCGUGAUCUCAGCUCACUGCAACCUCUGCCUCCCGGGUUCAAGCGAUUCUCCUGCCUCAGCCUCCUGAGUAGCUGGGAUUACAGGCAUGCACCACCACACCUGGCUAAUUUUGUAUUUUUUAAUAGAGACGGGGUUUCACCAUGUUGGUCAGGUUGGUCUCGAACUCCUACCCUCCGGUGAUCCACCCGCCUUGGCCUCCCAAAGUGCUGGGAUUACAGGCAUGAGCCACCGCACCUAGCCAAUUCUACUUCUAUUACAUUUUCAGCAUAUAUCACUUCAUUGCUCCUCCAUAUUAUUUUUCACUGGUCUUCUUACAUCUUGUGUGCCCAUAUUUAAGUAGUUUUCUUUCCAGGUAAAAAAUACAUGUGUGCCUAAAAGAUUUUAAAGUCAACUUUUCAUAAACCAUACCUAAAUUAUCAAAGUUAUUAGAAUUAUUAGAAAGUAUUAGCUAAUUCUUUUAUAAAAUGUAGACUUUAUUAUUUUAGAAAUAUUGAUUCCUCUCUAUUCAGCUAUCUUAAAGAGGGUAUAUUUUAAUCAUCGCAAUAUAUUACCUUCAUAGUAUUUUUUACUUUUGCAAAGUAUAUUUUGUCAUGUUAUUUCAUUUAGGAAUGCACUAAAUCUACAUAUCUACAUAUGAUUAUACAAGGAAACAUCUUUGUCUCAAAAAUGGGUUCUAUUACAUUUUUUAAUUUCCAGGGGUCAUGAUAUAUAAAAAGACCUGAUUUAUCUUAAAAAUACAUACUUUUAUUCUUACCUACCAUACAUCUUUUUUUGUGAUAAUCAGAAGGCUUAAUUUACUAUAAAAUAGGAAAACAACAGCUAUGUUAGAUUAUAUAGUUAAUUUAGGGAUUAAAUGAGUUAAGGUCUACAAGCCCCUGGCACAUGGCAGACAAUCAAUAAUUGAUCAUUUCCUUUGCAUCUAUAAAUUUGUUCAUUCACUUCUCAUGUGGUUCUACCUUAGACAACGAUUUUUGUUUACAGAGACAAAUAGAAGUAUCUAAUCCUAAAUAACCCAAUCAAUUGGUAAAGGCUACACUACAAAGCUGGCAUGACUUCACCAAAUGCUAGAGAAACAGUGUUAAGAGUGACAACACUAAAAGUCUUACACUCUGAUGAUGCUAGUUGCCGCCGAAUUGCUUCCCCUACCAGUUCCUUAAGUUUCUUCUUAUGAUCCCGGCUGGUUUUCUUAUAGAAAUAAAGAUCUUUUUCCAACUGCUGGAUUUUAUCUUCAUAUGUUUUGAAAGUUUCCAUAAUGCCUUCUCCAUCUUGUUCUAUACAACAAAAAUUUGCAUUUAAAAUCAGUUUUAAAUAAAUGAUGCAAAAUUAUGUUUUUGUUUGUUUCUUUGUCUUUUUGAAACGGAGUCUUGCACUGUCGCCCAGGCUAGAGUGCAGUGGCGUGAUAUGCUCGGCUCACUGUAAGCUCCGCCACCCAGGUUCACACCAUUCUCCUGCCUCCGCCUCCCAAGUAGCUGGGACUACAGGUGCCCAGCACCACGCCCGGCUAAUUUUUUUGUAUUUUUAGUAGAGACGAGGUUUCAUCAUGUUAGCCAGGAUGGUCUCGAUCUCCUGACCUCGUGAACUGCC
rnacentral:lncRNA from 1 species